CAUGNNGUCUUAACAUGCNAGUCGAACGAUGAACCACUUCGGUGGGGAUUAGUGGCGAACGGGUGAGUAACACGUUGGGCAAUCUGCCCUGCACUCUGGGACAAGCCCUGGAAACGGGGUCUAAUACCGGAUACUGACCCGCCUGGGCAUCCAGGCGGUUCGAAAGCUCCGGCGGUGCAGGAUGAGCCCGCGGCCUAUCAGCUUGUUGGUGAGGUAACGGCUCACCAAGGCGACGACGGGUAGCCGGCCUGAGAGGGCGACCGGCCACACUGGGACUGAGACACGGCCCAGACUCCUACGGAAGGCAGCAGA
rnacentral:rRNA from 1 species